ACAGUGGUGUGAUUAUAGCUCACUGUGGCAAGCUCAAAUUCCUGGGGCUCAAAGACUCCCUACUGUCUCAGCCUCCUAAGUCAUUGGGAUUACAGGCACAUGCCACUAUUCCCAUCUCUGCCUUAUUUUUAAGCCUUCAUUUCAUUUCUUGUUGACUGCACAUUUUCUGUAACUCAAACAGUGGUGGAUGCUCAGUGACUGUUUUUUGAAUGACUGAUUCAGUCGACAGGUAGCUCUUUUAAUACUUCUUCUAGUAUCAUUAGAAUUUUCUAGCACAGUAGGGUGAAGGGCAGAACAAGGGCAUAAUAAGUUUGCAUAGUUUGCAGGAAGUGCCAUCUGGUUUCAUGAUAAAGAACAGUCAAAAUAGGUAUACGUGAAAACUACUUUAUCAUUAUUAUGCAUAGAAUGACUAUGGAGUCAGCAGGGUCUAUUGUACCUAUGUGGAUGUAUGGACAUGAAUUUGUAUUCCAUCCCCUUUCUAGAUAUACUGUAAAAUAAUAACAACACUUUGAUAUUUUUUCCAUAUUUUUUGACUGGUAGUCCCUAAUUUUUCCUAGUGGAAGAACACUGUUGUGGGAAUCGGGUGAAUUCAGUCUAACUCAGGCUUUGCUAUUCAUUACCUGGAUCACAUUGGGACCUUACAGCUUGGUUAGGGUACUGAUAUCCUCAUACUUAAAGUAUGUUUAGAAGAGUAAAAGUUGAGCCAAGUUAAUUUUUAAGAUAGCCAAUAUUUCCUCAUUAUUUAAACUACUUUCAAGGCUUUUUUUUUCUUGCCCAGGAAAGCACUGUUCUCAGGUAUAAAAAAGACACCCCCCACUUUUGCACCAAUCCAGAAAAAAAAAAGACACCCCCAUUGUGGCACCCACCUUUCCUGCACUGCUUGAUUAUCUGGAAUUAGUUCUCUUUACUCUGUUCUGUGUCUGUCAGCUGAGGACAGGAAAACUCAGUCUGGAAAUUUCAGAUGUUAAAACAGGGAAGAAAUUUGGAGCAGGGUACCCACUCCAUACCUCUUUAUGUCUUAUACUAAGGAUUUUGCUUCUACGUUGAAGAUUAGAGAGACUUCAGAGUAUUAUUUUGCCCUCACAGAUUUCUCUGAGUCAUAGCAUUUCUUUCUCCUUUGCUGAUCUCAUAAAAGCCCUAUAUAUUCUGCCUCUACAACCCUUUAGCUUUUCCCAAAGUCUACCCCUGAUCUAUUGUUUGUCCUUUCAGAGGUUGGGAUUUAACAGAUUCCUUCACUGCUUAUGUUCCUCUGAUGAGAUUUUGGUCAUCUUUAGACCACAGCCCUUGGCAAAUCUACCUCUGGACUCUUGGUCUAGAUAGAACUCACUCAACCAGAAAGUUGGGGUGAGGUCACUGCUUAUAAGAGAAUACUCACUUUCUUUCUCAGUUUGAUUUUUGAUAUUGUGUCUUGGUAGCACUGUAUUCUCAAGUGCUUUUAAAGUGCACUGACCCUGGGCAGCAGUCAGAGUACCGUUCUCUUUGUGGUUGAGACAGCUAACCAUGUAAAGACAUGUCACUGGGGGACUUUCACCCUUUUUCCUUAGCCAAGAGGUUGGACAGGAGAGACAAACUUACAGAGUGCUAGAGGAAGAACUUAGCAGAGCAUCCUGAACGUAGCAGAAAAUGGUCACUUAGCUGGGUAGAACCAGAGUAGUGAAAAUGAACUAAUAGCCUGGAUCUGAACAGUAUCACUGGAAAGUAAUCUUAGAUUAAGGUUUUUACUCUGGUUUACACUAAGGUUUUAACUUAAGGAUUCCCCACUUGAGAAUAAAGCCUUCGACAUUAGAUAUCUUACCUGUUUGUAUGCUGUGGUAAUAGAGAGUGUGGGUGCAGGUAUUGGAGCGAUGUGUAUCCUACAGCUGUGUUUCCAGAGCUGGGCAAGAGCCCAAAGACAGUAUGAAAAGGGAUGUUUAUCAUCUAAAGUGGCCAUUUCCAUGCGUCUCAGGGUAGACAUUAUUCCUUGGUUCUUAUUUUAUGACUUAGGACAAAAACAACAGUUUAUAUUGUUCACAUUUCCCUCCCUACCUGCUAUAAUUAAACCUACUUUGGGGUUGUUAUAUUCGUUGUUUGUCACCCAUAAAAUAUUUCCUAAUGCAGCAGGAUCACUCACAGUCUUAACACUUGGAUAAUCUAUUAAGUACCCACUUAUAAAAUAUUAAUAAAAUAAAGUACCACUGUAUUUAGUUCAACUGGUUAUUUUUAAAUUUUUACCACUGCACAUUUAGAGUGGAACCUAACCAUUGCUUUUCAGUUCAAAAUUCUUGUGAAGGGGAUUUGAAAUUACAUCUUAAGAAAAAAUGUUCUAGUUAUUGGGUAAGACUGUGCAGAUAUCUAGACUAUAAAGCAAAAGCUGGAAUUUUCUUUAAAAUGUGUUCGUUUUAUGUGCUGACAGGUUUUACCAACCUCGCCAGACAGAAGGGAUCAUUUAGAAAAAUAAGAAUUCACUGUCUUUUUCCCUGUGGGCCAUCCCUGACAGCCAGUCAAGUAUUUCUUUGGUGUUCUGGGACCCCAGUGAUGUCCCAUGUGAGCUCAUAAACAAUACUUUUAAUUUUCCUUUUUGUCUCCUUCCCUGCCACCCCCACCUUUGGAGGUCAUUCCUUGGGAAGCCACUUGAAUCCAGGGCUCCUCACCAUUGCUCCUUUAGCUCUGAGGGCACAGCGAUGCCCAUGUUGGGGCUUUCCUGGAGCUUCUAAGUGUGAACCUUUAAACCACCAAAGCAGUGGUGUUAUGUUCUUGGAAGAAUGCUUACAGUUUCACUCUAGAGAACUAGAACUAUGCGUGUUCUUUACAUCUCACUGACUCCUGAAAAGCUAUUCCUUUGGCUUCUUUUAUCUGCCUUUCUCCAUAGAGACAAAUAGCCCUAGAAACAGUAGGAUUAGGAACCAGUUAUCUAAAGCACUCUUUCCCCUUGGUGGUCUCUUUCAGAUUCCUGGCAAAAAUUUUCCCACUCCAGGACCAAGUACUGACCAACCAAACAAACCAC